rnacentral:rRNA from 1 species
UACGGAGGUGGCGAGCGUUGUCCGGAUUUACUGGGCGUAAAGGGCGUGCAGGCGGUUUGUUAAGUGCAGGGUGAAAGCUCCCGGCUCAACUGGGAGAGGUCCUUGCAUACUGGCGAACUCGAGGGAGGCAGAGGAAAGUGGAAUUCCCGGUGUAGUGGUGAUAUGCGUAGAUAUCGGGAGGAACACCUGUGGCGAAGGCGGCUUUCUGGGCCUUACCUGACGCUGAGACGCGAAAGCGUGGGGAGCGAACCGG